UGACCGUUAAGCUGGCAAUUUUUGGAUUAAGUGCAUCUUUGAGCUACGGACUUAUUUUCUGCAAUAAAGCAUGCUACCAUUUGCAGUUGUUGAUUUUCUGGAUGGUGGAGGUGUAUCCAUAAUUCCUUGCAAGUGGUUUACAGGACCAGCGGAAGAUUCUUGUUUCUGGCCACCAGGGAGAGUCAAUAUCAAUAAGGCUGUAAAGGAUGGAGUUACUCCAGAUGCAAACUGGUCACAGUACAGAGUUCGCAUCUUGGGGAAAGCUGAAAAAUACGAAAAUGCCAGGGUGAAACUGCGGAGGUCUGAAGCAACCUCUGAUCUGCAGACUGAGUCGG